rnacentral:misc_RNA from 1 species
GAAAAUGUUUUAUGAAUAAAUUAUCGUUGCUACUUAUUAAGUUCUCUAUAUUUGCAUGAUGAGUAUCGCAAGCUUCAAUAAUAAGGUAUAGCUGCUUAUCAAAUAAAUAAAUAAAUAAUGAUGUAUAGCUGAUAUGCUUACUGAUAAAUUUGCAGGUUAUAGUGGGGAUGUUUGGCAUCCACAGCCAGCACCAAAGGACCAUCCAUGGCGUUAUAUGCCAAA